rnacentral:rRNA from 1 species
UACGUAGGGUGCAAGCGUUGUCCGGAAUUAUUGGGCGUAAAGAGCUUGUAGGCGGUUUGUCGCGUCUGCUGUGAAAAUCCGGGGCUCAACCCCGGACUUGCAGUGGGUACGGGCAGACUAGAGUGUGGUAGGGGAGACUGGAAUUCCCGGUGUAGCGGUGAAAUGCGCAGAUAUCGGGAGGAACACCAAUUGCGAAGGCAGCUCGCUGGGACGAUACUGACGCUGAGGCGCGAAAGCGUGGGGAGCAAACAGG